AACGAACGCUGGCGGCAUGCCUAACACAUGCAAGUCGAACGAGAUCUUCGGAUAUAGUGGCGCACGGGUGCGUAACGCGUGGGAAUCUGCCCUUGGGUUCGGAAUAACAGUGAGAAAUUACUGCUAAUACCGGAUGAUGUCUUCGGACCAACGAUUUAUCGCCCAGGGAUGAGCACGCGUUGGAUCAGGUAGUUGGUGGGGUAAUGGCCUACCAAGCCGACGUACCUUAGGUGGUCUGAGAGGAUGAUCAGCCACACUGGGACUGGGACACGUCACAGACUCCUACGGGAGGCGGCAGUGGGGAAUAUUGGACAAUGGGCGCAAGCCUGAUCCAGCAAUGCCGCAUGAGUGAUGAAGGCCUUAGGGUUGUAAGGCUCUUUUACCAAAGAUGAUAAUGACAGUACCUGGAGAAUAAGCUCCGGCUAACUCCGUGCCAGCAGCCGCAGUAA
rnacentral:rRNA from 1 species